rnacentral:misc_RNA from 1 species
GAUGAAGAACGUAGCGAAAUGCGAUACGUAAUGUGAAUUGCAGAAUUCAGUGAAUCAUCGAGUCUUUGAACGCACAUUGCGCCCCCUGGUAUUCCGGGGGGCAUGCCUGUCCGAGCGUCAUUGCUGCCCACAAGCACGGCUUGUGUGUUGGGCCUCCGUCCUCCUCCCGGGGGACGGGCCCGAAAGGCAGCGGCGGCACCGCGUCCGGUCCUCGAGCGUAUGGGGCUUCGUCACCCGCUCUUGUAGGCCCGGCCGGCGCUUGCCGACACAUCAAUCUUUUUUCCAGGUUGACCUCGGAUCAGGUAGGGAUACCCGCUGAACUUAAGCAUAUCAAUAAGCGGAGGA